GAUGAACUCUGGCGGCGUGCCUAACACAUGCAAGUCGAGCGAUUUACUUCUGUAAAGAGCGGCGGACGGGUGAGUAACGCGUGGGUAACCUGCCCUGUACACACGGAUAACAUACUGAAAGGUAUGCUAAUACGAGAUAAUAUACUUUUAUCGCAUGGUAGAAGUAUCAAAGCUUUUGCGGUACAGGAUGGACCCGCGUCUGAUUAGCUAGUUGGUAAGGUAACGGCUUACCAAGGCGACGAUCAGUAGCCGACCUGAGAGGGUGAUCGGCCACAUUGGAACUGAGACACGGUCCAAACUCCUACGGGAGGCAGCAGUGGGGAAUAUUGCACAAUGGGCGAAAGCCUGAUGCAGCAACGCCGCGUGAGCGAUGAAGGCCUUCGGGUCGUAAAGCUCUGUUCUCAAGGAAGAUAAUGACGGUACUUGAGGAGGAAGCCCCGGCUAACUACGUGCCAGCAGCCGCGGUAAUACGUAGGGGGCUAGCGUUAUCCGGAAUUACUGGGCGUAAAGGGUGCGUAGGUGGUUUCUUAAGUCAGAGGUGAAAGGCUACGGCUCAACCGUAGUAAGCCUUUGAAACUGGGAAACUUGAGUGCAGGAGAGGAGAGUGGAAUUCCUAGUGUAGCGGUGAAAUGCGUAGAUAUUAGGAGGAACACCAGUUGCGAAGGCGGCUCUCUGGACUGUAACUGACACUGAGGCACGAAAGCGUGGGGAGCAAACAGGAUUAGAUACCCUGGUAGUCCACGCCGUAAACGAUGAGUACUAGCUGUCGGAGGUUACCCCCUUCGGGGCGCAGCUAACGCAUUA
rnacentral:rRNA from 1 species